AUGUUGCCUUGGAGUAAUCGAGUUUGCCGAGUUAAAUGCUUGUCACAACAUUGUGGUUCUCAUGGCUGGCAAUUCAUUAAGCUGCAUCACUCGCCCAAUCAGCCUGCAGGCUAAAAUUUGCCACGAGCCACCGCCAUCCGCUAAGUAGUGAAACAUGUUUCGCCAGUCAACUUUGAGCUGCUGCUCAAUGCGAUUAGCUUUUGGCCGCCCUCUCUGUCACUAAUCACCCACUUGACGCAUCCCAUUCCAAAUGUAGCCAAAGUCACCCAACGGGUGGUGGCCAAAAACCCGUCUAAUUAACACAAAAUGGCCAUUUGUUGCGCUUGUUAAUUGCCAUGAAGAAUUUCUCCAUCCUACGUUCGACAAUGCGUUGCGUUCUCGGUUAGUUCAACUUAUAGGCCUCGUGGGACGUUUCGUCAUUAACCCUUUUUUGGCCACCACCAGUCAGCUGCUGUUAAAAACAUUAAACAAUUCAACAAUUUAUAAGCAAUUAGCAAAUGUUGACGCCCAACACGUUUUUGCAUAAUUAAGGAAAUCUAUUUAUGUGUUCACCUUUUCCUUCCUUUCUUUUCUUUUUAUUUUCGUUACACUUUCCUUGCUCUUUAAUUCAAUCAGUUUUUUGUUCAAGUUAAGAUCAAUAUUUGCAACAUACUUGGAAAUCAACAUUUAUAUUUCUGCUUUGCAUAUUUGCCACCUGUCAGAUUAGAAGAGUGAACUGCUGCCUUCCUUUUGAGCCGCAUCACAUCAAGACUUCAAUUUGUCAGCGACGCGUAAUAGCUUGUGGCUUAAAGCAAACAACAACUUGGCCAACGUAGAACCAAUUUCACUAAUCUGUUCGUUUGUGUGUGUGUGUGUGUGUGUUCAGUGUUGAGUGUGUCUAUAAAAGCAGCGCAACCUGACAGUCAAAAGGUGAAAAAAGGCCUACGUUUUGCCUUGCUGUAAUUUCGAGUCCAUUUUCCGCUGGCGGAUUACGAGCCUAAUGCUAGCCGGUUCAAGGUAAUCAAGGACGAGAACGACAGCUCGCUCUAAUCUUCUUGAUAUUUUAUGCGGGACUCUUGCGCGUAUAAAUUGUGAAGUUGUUUUUUUUUUGCCCGUGGCUAAUUAGUGGAGUAAAGGACGCAUGCUAAGACAGCGGGAUAUUGCUGUGUUCCCAACAGGAGCCAGGAUCCUCUUAUCAAUUACAUGCAUGAAUGACUCGCUACGCCGAAAGGCAAUUUCUUCGUUUGGGGUGCAACUUCAGUUUAGCUCGCCACGUGUGAUGUCAGUAAACACAAGGUAGCAAGAUAAACACUAAAGCAACAAGAGUGACAAUGUCAACAACUGGACGUCAUAUCACAUCGCAUCACAUUAUAUCACACAUACGCACCGCUGGUCGCCAAUGGAAUAUAAUUUCCACGCAUAAAUACCGAUAAAACAGGGCAGCGUAAACGCUUUAGCGGAGUUUGUAUUAGGCAACAAAUUGUGGCGUGUGCUGCAAUUACUUUUCGCCAGCAAAUAGGUAACUAUUAAAAGUUUAAUUUGUACACAUUAACUGGUUUUCCCUUCACUUAAGAUGUUGGAGAUGCUUUAUAAAAGACAAACAAUCUUAGGAUGUUCCGCAAGUAGUUUUCACGUAUCAACAAAACUUUAUGGUGAACUCAUUUCAUUUACACUGAAAGUUCAGUCAUUACAGCAAUUUGUGGAACGUUCUGCAAUUACUUUUCGCCGGAAUACCCCAAACUAUAUAAAGUUGUUGUUUCUCCCAUAAGCAUGGCUCAUAAAUUCGUGUUCAGCACUCGUCGUCGGUGAUUGUAUAACUGCCCCGGAACUCACUCAGCGGCGUGGCAUUUGUCGUUGAUGGCGUCAUCAGUGGAGCCCCCUGAAAGGAGAUGGCCAG